CUUUCAUCGUCGCGUAUCGCGUCGGUCCGCAAAGAAAAAUGCAGGUAUGAAUUAAUUAGUAUCUCUACGUCGUUAAUUAUCGUAUAAAUUCGAUCGUAUCGCGUCUAUCGACAUCGUAAUCGCGAUCGCGUACGAAAAAUCGCUCUCUUCGGCCGUGAAUCGCGAAUCUCGCCGUGAAGUUGCAUAUACGGUCCCAGAAACAUGUCACGUGACCGUGACGUCACGGCUCGGGCUUCUCGCAAAAGCAGUCGGUCGGAAAUAUCUAGCAAAGAACGAGAUAAAUACGUAUAAUAUUUUAUAGCUUAAUCGUCGUCAAAUAUUAAAUUCAGUGAAAAGUGAAAAUAUGGUGAAGUGAAUAUCAAUUCGGGACUUCAAAGUGCGUCGCGAAGAAGUCGUCCUCGUCGUUCGACGAGGUCCUUCGACAAGUAACCUCGAAGAAAGCGGCGACGCGAAAUCGGAGCGUCGGUUUUGUUCGCGCGCGAAUAAGCUCCCGCGAUUCUCGCGUUUUACCGAAACGCGUCGAAAAUAUGAUAAUUAAAAUCCGGCGUCGCCGUUCGCGAACGAAAAAAAAAAGAGUAACGCGAGUGCGAGUGUUUCGAAGUGUCUUCUACGAGGAGGCUCCGGGUGGAACAACUAUGUGGGAACAAAUAAGGAUAAAGAAAGGAAGAAAGGAGACCCAGGAUGAUAUCAGGCAACGGUGGAGCAACUAUAUGUUAAUAACUCCGCUGCUGCGCAUCGUGUGCCGGUGAGUCGCAUGGAUUUACUAUAUAAUGAUUUUGUGAAAAUCAUGUAUGA